UCAACCUCACCCACUUAGAAUGGCUCAGCCCAAGAACCAGAAACCCCUGAGCAGGAAAGGGGAAGCCAUAUUCACGGUAGUGGGUGUACCUUUGUUCUUACCCUAGGUGCGGUGGCUCAAUUUCCUGACCUGCUCCAUGGAAGGUGACCUAAUGGUGGUGACUGCGGGAGGAGCAGCAGCAAUAGCAGGAGUGGUACUCAAGUUCUGGAUGGCUAUCAUAAUGGGAAUAAAUCUUAGUCCACACACUCUUCAUUAACCUGACAAGAACUUAGGACUGCAGGACAAGAACUCAAGACCCACACAAUGAGUCCUAAUCAGUUGGCACACAUUAUCUCAUUUCAUCCUCUCAACAGCCCUAUAGUGUAUGUGCUGUUAUUAUUCAUUCAUACUUUGAUAAUGAACAAACUGCGACUCAGAGAAGUGGAGUAACUUGCCCAAAGUCAACAGCUGCACCACCAGGCUCGCCCCAGCACAGCUCAUCCACCCACCCCAAUGACAGAAUGCGCCAGAACUGUGGUCAACAUGGAGUGGCACCUUUGAGAGAGGGCCUCUGAGCAAGUUCCUGUGCCCUGUUUCUUUCAACGAGGAUAACUACUUCCACCUGCCUUUGUAAUUUGUUCCUGGGACAAAGAAAGCCUCUUGAGGAGGCUGGCCUGCCCUGCAUAUGUUGGAUAAACGCUUGAAAUAUGGACCUGUCCCCAUCUCUCGCCUUUCCCCGGAAUUCAGGACUGAAUGGAUGCUGCCUGCAUUUUGGGGAGUGGGAGUUUUGCUUUUCCUUUGCUUUGCUACUUACUCACUCUGAUGAACAAGGAGAAGACUGACAGCUUCACAGUCCUGGAUCAUUUCCUGCCCUGUUCUCCCAUCCAGCUCAUGGAAGUCAGCAACUCCAUCCACUCAUUGCACAGAGACCAGAAAGGGGAAGGGAUUUUCUCACUGUCUCACAGCAACUAAUGGCCAAGCUGCGGUGGGAGUCUUGGUGGUCUGAUUCCAAUUCAAGUUGGAGUGAGAGGGUGAGAAGAUUGUGGGCUGUGGCCUCAAGCCAACCAGGGUUUAAACCCAGCAUUGCCUCUGGCUUACUUGUGUCUCCUCUGCUUCCUCAUUCUUAGAAUGAAAAUCAUCAUCAUCAUCUCAUAGAAGUGUUAUGGGCAACAGACAGGAUAAUGUACAUGAAGCUCAUACAGCUUUGGGAUUAAAACCAGUGAAGACCCAAACGACUGUACCUGGGGAUUUAAGAUAAACAGGGUGUGUUACUGCCUGGCACAAAAUGGGAAUUUGUGCAAAGGUAAGAUACCAAGCAGGACAGUAUUUCUCCUUGAGGGACCCUGAAAUCUUCUCAUCAUUUAAGCUUAUGAAACGAGGUGGAGCCUCACUUCUUAAAGGGGGAAAUGCAAAUCAAAACUACCUGGGUAUCAUAUGAAAUUAUACCUUGAUAAA